AGCGAACGUUAGCGGCGGGCCUAACACAUGCAAGUCGAACGCGAAAGGUCUUCGGACUGAGUAGAGUGGCGCACGGGUGAGUAACACGUAGGUAAUCUACCCUUUGGCGGGGGAUAACGUUCCGAAAGGAGCGCUAAUACCGCAUAAGACCACGGAGUCUCCGGACGCUGUGGGAAAAGGUGGCCUCUUCUUGAAAGCUACCACCGAAGGAUGAGCCUGCGUCCCAUCAGCUAGUUGGUAAGGUAAUGGCUUACCAAGGCGAAGACGGGUAGCUGGUUUGAGAGAAUGAUCAGCCACACUGGCACUGGAACACGGGCCAGACUCCUACGGGAGGCAGCAGUGAGGAAUAUUGGGCAAUGGGCGAAAGCCUGACCCACGCCACGCCGCGUGAGU
rnacentral:rRNA from 1 species